rnacentral:tRNA from 1 species
UCUAGAGAAAGAUUUAGUUAUGACUUUAAUUUUAAUUAUGAGGUUUUUUCUUUCUUGUUUUCUUAAAUCAAAUACAACCUUUCUGAAGUCUCGUAGCUCAGCCGGUUAGAGCGCUACACUGAUAAUGUAGAGGUCGGCGGUUCGAGCCCGCCCCGAGACUACAAGUAGAUACAGAAAGGGGAAUUAGCUCAGCUGGCUAGAGCGCCUGCCUUGCACGCAGGAGGUCAUCGGGUUCGACUCCGAUAUUCUCCACAACGGUCUUCUUUAAUUAGAGAUCAGAAAGUUCUUUGACAUAUUGGUAUGAACAUAUAAAGUAAGCGUCUUAAGAAAGUAAUUAAGAGCAAACGGCGGAUGCCUUGGCUUG